rnacentral:rRNA from 1 species
GCGGACGGCUCAGUAACACGUAGUCAACCUAACUCGUGGACGUGGAUAACCUCGGGAAACUGAGAAUAAACCACGAUAGAUCAUAGUGCCUGGAAUGGCUUAUGGUCCAAACAGUUUACUGCCAUGGGAUGGGACUGCGGCCUAUCAGCUUGUUGGUGAGGUAAUGGCCCACCAAGGCGAUUACAGGUACGGGCUCUGAGAGGAGAAGCCCGGAGAUGGGUACUGAGACACGGACCCAGGCCCUAUGGGGCGCAGCAGGCGAGAAACCUUAGCAAUGUGCGAAAGCACGACUGGGUCAGUCCGAGUGAUUCCUGAUAAAGGAGUCUUUUGCUUGUCCUAAAAGCACAGGUGAAUAAGGGGUGGGCAAGUCUGGUGUCAGCCGCCGCGGUAAUACCAGCACCUCGAGUGGUCAGGACGUUUAUUGGGCCUAAAGCAUCCGUAGCCGGCUUUGCAAGUCUUCGGUUAAAUCCACCUGCUCAACAGAUGGGCCGCUGGAGAUACUACAGAGCUAGGGAGUGGGAGAGGCAGACGGUAUUCAGUGGGUAGGGGUAAAAUCCUCUGAUCCAUUGAGGACCACCAGUGGCGAANGCGGUCUGCCAGAACACGUUCGACGGUGAGGGAUGAAAGCUGGGGGAGCAAACCGGAUUAGAUACCCGGGUAGUCCCAGCUGUAACGAUGCAAACUCGGUGAUGCAUUGGCUUAUGGCCA